CUGGGUGGCACCUGUGCUGGCAGCGCAUCAACCCGGACCGACAACGACACGAACCAAAUGAACUGGGCGACACGGACUGUUUUGCCGCCGGGGAAAGGAAGAGAUGGGAAUAGCGGAGUUCAGCGGCCGGCGGCUUUCCUCGUCCGAACCGUACAUCACCUCCUCGUCCGAGUCGUUGAUCAUCGAGAACGUUGGAUUAUCCUUCGCUAUGAUCGGUUCUGCAAGGGCACCAUGUGUAAGAGAGAGAGAGAGGCGUGUUAGUUGGGGGGUGAGCAAAGAGCCGACAAGCUUACCGUGCACGGCCGGACCGCUCGGCGAGUAGACGUAGGCCAUCGCGUACAGAUAGAAGUUCAGCAAACCGUAGAAGCACAUAAACUGGGCCGAGCUUUUGUAGCUCGUGUACAGCUGCGCGAUAAAGUUGUCCUCGAGCGUGUCGAAGCCGAAGUGUUGCAUCGUGACGAUCAGCGAAAUCGUCAGCACGAUCAGCAUCAGCAGGGUGAGGAUUUUUAGUCGCAUAUCUGCAUUUGAAACCCAAAAACGAACGCGGUGAACAGUCUUGAAAACGCAGGAUGAACUUCCCCCUCUCCUUGCCUUACCAAAAUACGGCAUCGAUCGGAGCUCGGAGUACGCCUUCAGCAUCAGCAGUCCCAGAUAGAUUUAAGGUCGGGUUUCCGCUCCCGCCGUACGUACGUUGUAGUUUUCCGAGUCCUCGAAAUGGCUGUACGUUGGGUCGUUCAGCUCGUCGCACUUCUCCCAGAUGCCGAGCACCACGGCGCACAGCCAGAUCGGCAGCACGACGAUCAGCUUCGGCAGGUAGAAGGUAAGUAGCUUGCGCUCGUUCUGCCGCAGCCCGUGGUACACGCACAGCCAGAACAUGAGAAUGCCGCAGAGGAAGGUGGUCUGGAGCAGGGCGUCGAUCAUGCCCGGCAGCCAGCUGUUCGCGAUGAAGAUGAGCGGAAAGAGCGGAUCUGUAACGGGGAAGGGAGUUUGAAUGUAUUUUCAGUGGUUCAUUUCAAUUUUACUGCUAGUACGUCCAGUUUCUUUUUAGAUACUUUUAAAACACGUAAAACAUGCUAUCAGACUACUAAAUGCGCAAUCCAUGCUGAAAAAUGUCACUGUCAAUGUCAUAAUUCUGACUGAAACAAAAUCCAUGUUAGCGUACUCAAUUGUGAUAAACAGAGAUGAUGCUCAACAA